CUACUUUCUCUUUAGUGUUUUCAAAAUUGAAUGAUUUGUACAAACAGGAUGUAGGCUCGUUAUAUCAUAGUUUUUUAAAAUGUGUCACAGUUCUCUCUCGAGAGUAUUCUUCUACUUGAAUUGGAGAUUAGAAAGGCACUAUCUUGACAAAGAUGAGAAAAAGCACAGUAUAAAGCAACUCCCGUAUGAAAGAGAUAUUUUUACCAACUGUAAACUAAUAUUUCAUGUUCGACGAAUGUAAACUGUGUUAAUAUUAUAAAGCAGAAAUAUUCGCCAUUAAACACACGGGCACGUCCAAUUUUCUGUUGACAUGAUAAAGUAAUCAAACAGAUAGCGAACACAGAUAAGAAAUGACGCAGAUCGAGAAUAAAUGCAAGUUUGCACGUAUACCAGGACUCACGUAAUAACUACACAAGUUUUUCAUAAUAUCAUGUUCUCACUUUAUUUUUCCACCUCAAAAUGAAAAAAACGAUUGGUUAAAGAACAAUUGUGAUGCAUAAUUCUUCCCGCCGUAGGCUACGAAAGCUAACGAUAUUACCAACCAAAUUUAGACGCAAGCUGUGGGAUAAAAUUCAGCCCAGCUCCUGUCUUUCAUGUCCACGUAAUCAGCCCCAACCACGCAUGACUUGAAAGUAUG